rnacentral:rRNA from 1 species
AAUCUUCCACAAUGGACGAAAGUCUGAUGGAGCAACGCCGCGUGCGUGAAGAAGGUUCUCGGAUCGUAAAGCUCUGUUGUAUGGGAAGAACAAAUACAGGAGUAACUGUCUGUACCUUGACGGUACCUUACCAGAAAGCCACGGCUAACUACGGUCCAGCAGCCGCGGUAAUACGUAGGUGGCAAGCGUUGCCCGGAAUUAUUGUGCUUAAAGCGCGCGCAGGCGGUCCUUUAAGUCUGAUGUGAAAGCCCACGGCUCAACCGUGGAGGGUCAUUGGAAACUGGAGGACUUGAGUACAGAAGAGGAAAGCGGAAUUCCACGUGUAGCGGUGAAAUGCGUAGAGAUGUGGAGGAACACCAGUGGCGAAGGCGGCUUUCUGGUCUGUAACUGACGCUGAGGCGCGAAAGCGUGGGGAGCAAACA